rnacentral:lncRNA from 1 species
AGGACCUCAGAGACCCUCUGGAGGAGCUCAGGGACCCUCUGGAGGACCUCAGGGCCCCCCCGGAGAAGCUCGGGGAGGGGGAGGAUGACUUCGAGGACAUCCCCGGGGAUGUUGGGGACCCCUUAGAGGAAGAAGACAGGGACAUGGAGGUGGGGGACCGCCAUGGGGACCUUGAGGACUCCCAGAGUGACCUUGGGGACCCCCUGGAGGACCUUGGGGAGGUGGUGAGACCCCUUUGGAGACCCCCUAUGGGCCUUGGGGACCUCUUAGGGGAAGCUGGUGAGGACGUGGAGGUGGUGAGACCCCUUUGGAGACCCCCUAUGGGCCUUGGGGACCUCUUAGGAGAAGCUAGUGAGGACGUGGAGGUGGGGGACCCCCACGGGGACCUUGGGGACCCCCAUAGUGACAUCGGGGAGCCCUUUGGGGCCCACCAGGCCCCCUCCGGAGGACCUUGGGGAGGUGGUGAGACCCCUUUGGAGACUCCCAUCUCCUUCCUCCCAUCCCAUCUCCUUCACGUCCCAUCUCCUUCCCUCCAUCCCAUCUCCUUCCUCCCAUCCCAUCUCCUUCACGUCCCAUCUCCUUCCCUCCAUCCCAUCUCCUUCCUCCCAUCCCAUCUCCUU